rnacentral:rRNA from 2 species
UACGAGGGGGGCAAAUGUUGUUCGGAAUCACUGGGCGUAAAGGGAGCGUAGGCGGGUUUCUAAGUCAGGUGUUUAAUCCCGGGGCCCAACCCCGGACAGGCACUUGAAACUGGGAAUCUUGAAUAGUGGAGAGGUCAGUGGAAUUGGGGGUGUAGCGGUGGAAUGCGUAGAGAUCCCCAAGAACACCAGUUGCGAAGGCGGCUGACUGGACACAUAUUGACGCUGAGGCUCGAAAGCAUGGGGAGCAAACAGG